GACGGAGGGUGCAAGCGUUGCUCGGAAUUACUGGGCGUAAAGGGUGCGUAGGCGGCUUCUUAAGUCUGACGUGAAAGCCCAGGGCUCAGCCCUGGAAGUGCGUUAGAAACUGAGAGGCUUGAGUGCCGGAGGGGAGAGUGGAAUUCCCGGUGUAGCGGUGAAAUGCGUAGAUAUCGGGAAGAAUACCGGUGGCGAAAGCGACUCUCUGGACGGCAACUGACGCUGAGGCACGAAAGCGUGGGGAGCAAACAGG
rnacentral:rRNA from 1 species